CAGCCGCCGCGGUAAUACCAGCACCCCGAGUUGUCGGGACGAUUAUUGGGCCUAAGGCAUCCGUAGCCUGUUCUGCAAGUCCUCCGUUAGAUCCACCUGCUCAACGGAUGGGCUGCGGAGGAUACCGCAGAGCUAGGAGGCGGGAGAGGCAAACGGUACUCAGUGGGUAGGGGUAAAAUCCAUUGAUCUACUGAAGACCACCGGUGGCGAAGGCGGUUUGCCAGAACGCGCUCGACGGUGAGGGAUGAAAGCUGGGGGAGCAAACCGGAUUAGAUACCCGGGUAGUCCCAGCUGUAAACUAUGCAAACUCAGUGAUGCAUUGGCUUGUGGCCAAUGCAGUGCUGCAGGGAAGCCGUUAAGUUUGCCGCCUGGGAAGUACGUACGCAAGUAUGAAACUUAAAGGAAUUGGCGGGGGAGCAC
rnacentral:rRNA from 2 species